UACGGGGGGGGCAAGCGUUGUUCGGAAUUACUGGGCGUAAAGGGCUCGUAGGCGGCCAACUAAGUCAGACGUGAAAUCCCUCGGCUUAACCGGGGAACUGCGUCUGAUACUGGAUGGCUUGAGGUUGGGAGAGGGAUGCGGAAUUCCAGGUGUAGCGGUGAAAUGCGUAGAUAUCUGGAGGAACACCGGUGGCGAAGGCGGGUCUCUGGGCCGAUACUGACACUGAGGAGCGAAAGCGUGGGGAGCGAACAGG
rnacentral:rRNA from 1 species